CCUACGGGAGGCAGCAGUGGGGAAUAUUGGGCAAUGGGCGCAAGCCUGACCCAGCAACGCCGCGUGAAGGAAGAAGGCUUUCGGGUUGUAAACUUCUUUUAAGGGGGAAGAGCAGAAGACGGUACCCCUUGAAUAAGCCACGGCUAACUACGUACCAGCAGCCGCGGUAAUACGUAGGUGGCAAGCGUUGUCCGGAUUUACUGGGUGUAAAGGGCGUGCAGCCGGAGUGACAAGUCAGAUGUGAAAUCCACGGGCUCAACCCGUGAACUGCAUUUGAAACUGUUUCCCUUGAGUGUCGGAGGGGUAAUCGGAAUUCCUUGUGUAGCGGUGAAAUGCGUAGAUAUAAGGAAGAACACCAGUGGCGAAGGCGGAUUACUGGACGAUAACUGACGGUGAGGCGCGAAAGCGUGGGGAGCAAACAGGAUUAGAUACCCUUGUAGUC
rnacentral:rRNA from 1 species